CACCCACCAGGCAUAUAGAGUGCCCUGAUUGGCCCACAAAGCAGAUAAAGCUCUGUGAUUUGUUCACUAAGCAGAUAGAGCACUAUGAUUGGCCCACCCUUAUGGACCAAUCACAGCUCUUUAUGUGUUUGAAACCCCUCUAGAGUUUUGUGAUUGGCUAGUCAGAGUCCUGGUAGGAGCUGCGGAGGUUCCUAGACCAAACUUUGCAAAGCAAGAAUUUGGUCUAGUUCACUAGGCUAGCGAUCUGUGGCUGAUGAGUGAAAACAACCUGGUGUGACUUCACAGAGAGAGUACAUUCUUUGUCUGAGCUUCCAUAAAUCUGAGUUUUAGUUGGAAGAAAGGCAAGGUGGUGAUAAAAAGACAUGUUUAAUGAUGACUUUUACACAGUUUUGUUGUACCACAGCAGACAUUUCUUCAUGGAAGUUUGGAAGUUUCCUUCUUAAUAUUUGAAUCAAUCAUAACAAAUUUUCAUGGUUUAUCUAAUCUAAUCUAAUCUAAUCUAGAUUUUUUUUACUGUUUCAACAUUUUCAAAAUAGAGCAGAGAAAAAUAAUUUCACGUGCAACAGUUUUGAUGGUUCUAGUUGUUGUUGAUAAUACAAAUGGUAAUGUGUUGUUUUUUUGUGUGUGUGAGUGUUUUUAUCUGUGUUCACCUAAGUGUCUCAGAACAUACCCGCGUUCAACCUGAGAUCUGAGAUGAAAGGCUCGCAGUGAAAGAACGAUGCUUUUUCUCUUCUUCUUCUUCUUUCCAGAGAGCCACUGACCUCUCUCGUCAUCCAUGGUCUCAGUUUCUAAAAGCAAAACUCAUUCAACCACCACACCUGCAGCUGAAAUCCAGUUUCCUUAUGCUCUGCAUCCAACUCCUUUAAGGUCUGUUGACCGUUAAUCCAUUUUUUUCUCGAGUCAGUACACAAUUAUCUUUAAAACAUUAUAGCUCAGCUCCACUGCUGAGGUAACGUAUUGCAUAUACUAUCAAGAUGUUCGUCAGUCUUUUCAAAAAGAGUGUGUGAGAUGUAAAACAACUGACUUUUUAAAAAAAGUGGUGCCAAAUGGAGGCAGAAAUUAGAUCCUUUUGUAAUUUCUAAGGUUCUAAGUUUUUCUCUUAAACCUCCUGCAGAAAAUAAAUGGUCACCUUUCACGUGAUCCUAACAUUUGAAGUCCAUGUAUGACCAAUGCAGUUUAAUGCUAUGGUGAAAAUAAACCCAAGAAGAGAGGAAGUCAGUAGCAUGGGACUAAAAGUGAAGUACUUGCUGGUUUUUGUAAUUUGAGCCUAAUUUACCUCCAAAGCUCCAAACUCGUAGCAUUGGGGCAACAGUAGCUCAGGAGGUAGAGCGGACUGUCCCAUGAUCAGAGGGUCAUGGGAUUGAUCCCAGCUCCCGCCAGGGGUAUUCUGCUGUUGUGUCCUUGGGCAAGACACUUCACCUAACUUGCCUGUGUU
rnacentral:lncRNA from 1 species